rfam:Nicotiana attenuata strain TT chromosome 7, whole genome shotgun sequence.
UAGACAGAUUAUUGUAUUCGAUUGUAUUCACGGUGUGAAACAAGGGAUUACACUGUUUUUAAAUAGAAAGUGAAUCAAUUAACAUAAUAGACUCUU